AAAACUUUAAGUUAAUUUAAACUAAUAAUCUUCAAAAUUAUAAAUAAUAAAAAAUUAAGUUUUA
rnacentral:tRNA from 1 species